rnacentral:rRNA from 1 species
UGCCAGACUCCUACGGGAGGCAGCAGUGGGGAAUAUUGCACAAUGGGGGAAACCCUGAUGCAGCGACGCCGCGUGAGUGAGGAAGUAUUUCGGUAUGUAAAGCCCUAUCAGCAGGGAAGAAAAUGACGGUGCCUGACUAAGAAGCCCCGGCUAACUACGUGCCAGCAGCCGCGGUAAUACGUAGGGGGCAAGCGUUAUCCGGAUUUACUGGGUGUAAAGGGAGCGUAGACGGUCCUGCAAGCCAGAUGUGAAAGCCCGGGGCUCAACCCCGGGACUGCAUUUGGAACUGUAAGGCUAGAGUGUCGGAGAGGCAGGCGGAAUUCCUAGUGUAGCGGUGAAAUGCGUAGAUAUUAGGAGGAACACCAGUGGCGAAGGCGGCCUACUGGACGGUGACUGACGCUGAGGCUCGAAAGCGUGGGGAGCAAACAGGAUUAGAUACCCCUGUAGC